GCAUAACGCGAAGAACCUUACCCAGGCUUGACAUGCAUUUCUAAGCGCGUGAAAGCGCGCGACCCUUCGGGGGACUUGCACAGGUGCUGCAUGGCCGUCGUCAGCUUCGUGUCGUGAGAUGUUGGGUUAAGUCCCGCAACGAGCGCAACCCUUGUGAACAGUUGCCAGCGCGUCAUGGCGGGAACUCUGUUCAGACUGCCCAGAUCAACUGGGAGGAAGGUGGGGACGACGUCAGGUCAGUAUGGCCCUUACGCCUGGGGCUGCACACGUACUACAAUGCCCGGCACAAUGAGAACCGAGACCGCGAGGUGGAGGAAAUCUGGAAAACCGGGCCCAGUUCGGAUUGGAGGCUGCAACCCGCCUCCAUGGAGUCGGAAUCGCUAGUAAUGGCGCAUCAGCUACGGCGCCGUGAAUACGUUCCCGGGUCUUGUACACACCG
rnacentral:rRNA from 1 species